rnacentral:rRNA from 1 species
UAGCCCUUCCAGAGGGGGGACGAACAGUUGGAAACGACUGCUAAUACCGCAUACGAUCUAACCUUGGCAUCGAGGAUGGAUGAAAGGUGGCCUCUAUUUAUAAGCUAUCACUGAAGGAGGGGGAUUGCGUCUGAUUAGCUAGUUGGAGGGGUAACGGCCCACCAAGGCGAUGAUCAGUAGCCGGUCUGAGAGGAUGAACGGCCACAUUGGGACUGAGACACGGCCCAGACUCCUACGGGAGGCAGCAUG